GGGAUGAGCCCAGCACCGAAUCCCCCGGCAUGCAGCCGGUGGGAAAUGUGGUGUGUGGGACGCCAACUGUCGUCCGCGCUGGAGACCGAAGUCCUCCUGAUCGGGGCCUCUCCCACAGCGGGUGUCAGGCCUUUACUGGUCUCCGGCCGGGCGGCUGCGAGCGUCUCAGGAGUCGGGUUGUUUGGGAAUGCAGCCCAAAGCGGGUGGUAAACUCCAUCUAAG
rnacentral:rRNA from 1 species